rnacentral:rRNA from 1 species
AUUGAACGCUGGCGGCAGGCCUAACACAUGCAAGUCGAGCGCGAGGCGGACGGGUGAGUAAUGUACGGGGAUCUGCCCGCAGGAGGGGGAUAACAACUGGGAACGGUGGCUAAAACCGCACACGAUCGGAGGAACCCAUAUGGGAUUAGCUAGUAGGUGGGGUAAAGGCUCACCUAGGGGACGAUCUCUAGCUGGUCUGAGAGGAUGAUCAGCCACACUGGGACUGAGACACGGCCCAGACGCCUACGGGAGGCAGCAGUGGGGAAUAUUGCACAAUGGGCGCAAGCCUGAUGCAGCCAUGCCGCGUGUAUGAAGAAGGCCUUAGGGUUGUAAAGUACUUUCAGCGGGGAGGCGUUACCCGCAGAAGAAGCACCGGCUAACUCCGUGCCAGCAGCCGCGGUAAUAC